GCCGGGGUGGCCGAGUGGACUAAGGCGGUGGACUUGAGAUCCACUACCCGUUAAGGGUGCCCGGGUUCAAAUCCCGGCCCCGGCGCCA
rnacentral:tRNA from 1 species